GCGUGCAAGGAUUCUGGCGGUCAGCCGCCUGCGUUGUUCUCUCUCGCCAAGGACUUGGGCGCCAUGCUCGCCGUCUACGAGGGCUUCUGCGACCUUCAGCAGGCCCCUUUCCCGCACCUCAAAAUCCAGUCUUUAUGCUCAAAGCUGGACCUUCAUCGAUCUCGUCGAUUUCCCCGGUUGAUCGACCGAAAGCUGAACUUUUUGCAAGCGUUCCACCGUCCGUACGGUUCUGACGCGAGAGAGGAGAGCUUUCGCAGUGUCAUAACUCGUUCUUGGGGUCGCUGAGAACAGCUACGCCGUAGAAUGUUUCACUGGUUUCUCUAAGUUCUGUGCUGGAGACUGCUUUUGCCAAAGAUUCACUAUUUUGAGGUACUUCGGCCUCUCUCAGAUCUUUCUUUGUUGGUCUCUGUAGCUAACUAUUCUGCCAAGAAAUGAGUUGAAUGGUCGUAGCACCUGAACUGAUGAGAACAACUCACCCACCGUCGUUAACAGCUCGCUAAGAAGCAACUGUUCGAUAGCUGCGCCUGAAUCGGAUUCUGCUCUCUUGAAUACGUUGAAGGACGAAGAGUCAUCGGCCUUGGUGCCAUUGGAGAGAUCUGUGAAGCUCCACAGAAUAGCUCUGUGCCUAUUAUGGUCAAGGAUAUGCCGGAAUCUCAACCUGGUUGGUCUUCUCUUAGAAGCCCGGUCCUAACAAGCAGGAAGACUGUUUCCAUGGAGAAGCACGAGAUCUCUUUAGUCCAAUGGGUUACAAUUCUAGGAAGUUGGAUCGAAGUAUUACACAAAAACGAUAUGGAGAGAGCAGCAGGGCCAUUGUUCCGGUUGGAUCUGAUUCACCACCACAGGGGGCUGUCUUUUGAGUUGAAGUCUCUCCAUUAGAAGCAUUUAUCUGUUUGCAGAUUUUUCAGCUGCAUGGAACUCACAUGAUCAACAUCCAACUUCUCACGCAGUUAUUUCUGAAAUUUUGUCAUGCUAAUCGUGUUUAAUUCAUGAACAUUUCUUAUGUUAAUCAAGUUCUCAAUGCUGGUUUCUGAUUGGGAAGGGAAGAAUUAGCAGUGUUUCUAAUGCCAGUCUUUCAGAUGGCAAGGAAUUGGCUUUAAAAAUCUUGAAGCCCUCUGAAGAUGCAACAAAAGAGUUCUGUUUCAGAGAUUGAGAUUGCCACUACCCUUGCAUCACAAAAACAUUAUUUCGCUGCUCAGGUUUUGUUUUGAGAAUAACUGUUUAAUAUUGGUCUAUGGCUAUGUAUCAAGGGAUAGCUUAGAACAAAUCCUCCAUGGUAUGCAUUUUGCAAACAUGAGUUGCUAAUUUUUCUAUUCAUUUGAUUCACUUUGUCUAAGUCAUGUCUCGUCUCCUAAUAUUUAUUUGUUAGGUGACAAAUAGAACAAGCAUUUUCUCAGUUGGCCUGAAAGAUUCAAGGUGGCAAUAGCAUUGAUCCUGUGAUCCAUAGUGAUGUAAAGUCCUCAAACAUGCUUCUCUCUGAGGAUUUCAGCCUGCAGUUCCUGUUUCUUCUAUGAUGUGCUUCUUGCAUCGCAUCUCUUAUAAAUAUGUGUGUCAUGUUUUUCUUCUUCAAACUGUUUCAGUUGCCUGACUUUGAAUUGGCAAAAUGGUUAUCAGCGUCAACAUCACGACCAAUUUGCAGUGACAUUGCAGGGACUUUUGGAUCUGUCCUCUUUGUGCAGCAAUAGAUCGAUUUAUUUGCUAAAUGUUAGAUCAACAUCCUAAGUGACAACCUCACUUAGCUCCUGAAUACAUUUUAUAUGGCAAAGUUAAUGAAAAGGUCGAUGUAUAUGUUUUGGGUGUUGUUCUUCUCAAGCUCCAAGUAUUAUAUUUUGUUGGAAAUACUUCGCAUUUAGCUUUGUAAUAUCUAUUUGAGUAUACAUUUUGUUGGUAAAUCCUAUUGUAGAUAAUCCAACUCUGGUUCUCUUAUUUAUUUUCUCCAUGUAAUCGCAGGCAAAGCCAAUCUUACAAGAUGUAGCAGUUAAUAGUGAUCAAGUGGAAAGGAUGAUCAUAGCUUCUUCCUUGUGUGUAAGGUGGCUUCAUCGAAUUUGACCUCACAUAACACUUGUUUUAAAGACUACUCCAAGGAGAUGAUGCUGCUGUUAAAUGGGCAAGCUAUGUUUCAUGAUGAAGUAUCAAACCCAGAAUCUGACAUCCAAUCCCACCUUAGUCACACAUUAGGAUUACCCGAUCUCGAUCAGCAGCAGCGAUCACAAAGUUGCUUCUCUAACCGCGAGCAUUUCUAUUGAGAACUACUUGCAAUGUGGAAGGAGCCAUUCAUCAAGCAAUUUCUGUAUAGUGUUCAUUUUUUCUGAUUCCUUGGCAAACUAUACACUUUGUGUAUAGUUCUUGCUUGAGAAUUCACCUAUUUUUAGGAAUCAUUGAUAUUUUCUCAAUUGUUUGUGAACGAAGAUCGAGGAACUGAUAAGAGAGUUAAUUAUUUUUUGUGCUAAUUUAGUUUGGUGAUCAAAAUUUGUAUUC